rnacentral:rRNA from 1 species
GAUGAACGCUAGCGGCAGGCCUAAUACAUGCAAGUCGGACGGGAUUGGGGAGCUUGCUCCCCAUGAGAGUGGCGCACGGGUGCGUAACACGUAUGUAACCUACCUUUAUCAGGGGGAUAGCCUCUCGAAAAGAGAGAUUAAGCCCGCAUAAAAUCACAGCACAGCAUUGUGUAAUGAUCAAAUAUUUAUAGGAUAAAGAUGGGCAUGCGGAACAUUAGCUAGUUGGUAAGGUAACGGCUUACCAAGGCUACGAUGUUUAGGGGAUCUGAGAGGAUGACCCCCCACACUGGUACUGAGACACGGACCAGACUCCUACGGGAGGCAGCAGUAAGGAAUAUUGGUCAAUGGGCGGAAGCCUGAACCAGCCAUGCCGCGUGCAGGAAGACGGCCCUACGGGUUGUAAACUGCUUUUAUACCGGAAUAAACCCCCGUAUCGUGAUCGGGGCUGAAUGUACGGUAAGAAUAAGGAUCGGCUAACUCUGUGCCAGCAGCCGCGGUAAUACGGAGGAUCAAAGCGUUAUCCGGAUUUAUUGGGUUUAAAGGGUGCGUAGGCGGCCUUAUAGGUCAGGGGUGAA